AUACGGAGGAUGCGAGCGUUAUCCGGAUUCAUUGGGUUUAAAGGGUGCGUAGGCGGAAUUGUAAGUCAGCGGUGAAAUCCCGGUCGCUUAACGAUGGGACUGCCGUUGAAACUGCGAUUCUUGAGACCGGACGAAGCGGGCGGAAUGCGUGGUGUAGCGGUGAAAUGCUUAGAGAUCACGCAGAACUCCGAUUGCGAAGGCAGCUCGCUAGGGCGUAUCUGACGCUGAAGCACGAAAGCGUGGGGAUCAAACAGGAUUAGAUACCCUGGUAGUCCACGCAGUAAACGAUGAUCACUAGGAGUGCGCGACAGGCUGUGCGCUCUACAGCGAAAGCGUUAAGUGAUCCACCUGGGGAGUACGCCGGCAACGGUGAAACUCAAAUGAAUUGACGGGG
rnacentral:rRNA from 1 species